CCUACGGGAGGCAGCAGUGGGGAAUAUUGCACAAUGGGGGAAACCCUGAUGCAGCGACGCCGCGUGAGUGAAGAAGUAUUUCGGUACGUAAAGCUCUAUCAGCAGGGAAGAAAAUGACGGUACCUGACUAAGAAGCCCCGGCUAACUACGUGCCAGCAGCCGCGGGCAUACGUAGGGGGCAAGCGUUAUGCGGAUUUACUGGGUGUAAAGGGAGCGUAGACGGCAGCGCAAGUCUGGAGUGAAAUCCCAUGGCUUAACCAUGGAACUGCUUUGGAAACUGUGCAGCGAGAGUGCAGGAGAGGUAAGCAGAAUUCCUAGUGUAGCGGUGAAAUGCGUAGAGAUUAGGAGGAACACCAGUGGCGAAGGCGGCUUACUGGACUGUAACUGACGUUGAGGCUCGAAAGCGUGGGGAGCAAACAGGAUUAGAUACCCCUGUAGUC
rnacentral:rRNA from 1 species